AUGUAUUCUUUUUAUUGAUUAAAAAUUUUGGGUUAACCAACUAUGGUAUUGUUGAUAAGUCAAACAUAAAUUUUUUAACCCUUUCGUCAAAACGACGACGCGCGAUAUUAUUUUCGACUAAAAUAUAUUUAUUCGGUUUGUUUGAUCUCAUUUUUCGUAUAGCUGCUGCCAACGUUGAAGUACAAAGCAUUUAGCAGGAAUGGAGUUUUAUUUAUCCAUAAGCUAGCGAAUCCGUUACACUGAUAUUUUUAUAAAUAAUGGGUCUUAAUUUUAUUCUACCAUUCACAAUAGAGAUAUUUCUGCAGGUGGCCUAACAAAGUUGUGAUAAACAUAUCAUGACGGCAUUCCGGAAAACAGAUGUUCUACAAACACCUGCACUGGUAAUAUUUCCAGAACUUCGCUGUACUGCAUAGAUUCAUUUCACUCCCUACAAUUUUCCCUGCACUGCACUUUAUUGUACCAAAAUAAAAAUAGUCUAUAAACUUCACAACCAUUCACAA